GUAGGGGCCAAGCGUUGUCCGGAAUCAUUGGGCGUAAAGAGCUCGUAGGCGGUUUGGUAAGUCGGAUGUGAAAUCUCCACGCUCAACGUGGAGCGGCCAUCCGAUACUGCCCUGACUCGAGUCCGGCAGGGGAGUGUGGAAUUCCCGGUGUAGCGGUGAAAUGCGCAGAUAUCGGGAGGAACACCAGUAGCGAAGGCGGCACUCUGGGCCGGUACUGACGCUGAGGAGCGAAAGCGUGGGGAGCGAACAGGAUUAGAUACCCUGGUAGUCCACGCCGUAAACGUUGGGCACUAGGUGUGGGGCUCUAUCGACGGGCUCCGUGCCGUAGCUAACGCAUUAAGUGCCCCGCCUGGGGAGUACGGCCGCAAGGCUAAA
rnacentral:rRNA from 1 species